UUUUGCCCGUCGCAUUGGAAACAGCUCUAUCUUACUAUCUCUUCGUGUAGCAUUUAAACUUAGGAAAAGUUCGUAUACUUAUAAUAUAAUAACUACAUAAUUUAAUGAGGCAUAUUCAUACAGAACAAACUAUGACUAGUGCUAGACUUGUGACUAGGAUUUCGGAACGGUGCAAAGGCGAAAUCACGGCUGGGAAAAAGUCAACAGGACCGUUUUCUCUCCCACCGGUUUCAUUAGCAUGCUAGCCAACUAGCUUCUAGUAUUCGCCUCAACUGUCUGAAUAGUAACUUACAGCUGACCGGUUCGUUAGCACUGCUAACGCCUGGCAUGGUUUAUUUACUGAAGUGUGAUUUGACAUGUACGCAUUUGUCCGCGUAUGUAGACUCGGAAUAGUUAAACAUUAAUACAUAAUUGGAAAACAGUGGCUAAAUUUGAAAACUGGCGACGAAAGCUACUUUUUUUGGUUAGCUUUCCGGCUAAAUUUGGGGUGCUGAUGUGUUCCUGCGAGAAAGUGGAUUUUAACAUUACUCCUCGUACUGUCGCCCGUCUGGUGUAUGAGGCCGAACAGGAAAAAAACAAUGGGGGUAAUUCGUCCAAUGGGAGUACAGCCAGUAAUUCUCCGCGCAGUACUCCCGGCAGCUCACCCUACCUGCGCCGCCGUGUGCUGGGAGGCAGAGCCAGUGAAGGGGAGGCGGGCGGGGACAGAAGCGCUGGGGGCUCAGAGAGCCCCCUGCCUCCUACUCCCUCCUCAUCCACCUCCUCCUACCCGCUCGCGGCCCGACACUUCACCCGCAAUGCCAAGGUAAGCCACGUUCUCAACCAGUGAGACUGAUUGAUGGUCGUCACUCAUCCAAAUGUCUG
rnacentral:lncRNA from 1 species